ACUUCCUUCUACACCCUCAACCCCACUGCCUAACAUCACGACGCAGACAACAACAAGACCACCCACAUCACCACCUGGGACGACCUCAGGUCCACUUCCUUCUACACCCUCAACCCCACUGCCUAACAUCACGACUCAGACAACAACAAGACCACCCACAACACCACCGGGGACGACCUCAGCUCCUACACCCUCGCCCCCCUUGCCAGACACUACAACACUGCCUCCACAUACAACAACCUCACCGGCACCUGGGACAAGCACAGCUCCCCCGACAGACUGCAAUUUCACCUGCACAUUCGACAAGGACUUCUGUGGCUGGGUCCAGGCAGACUACAGCAGCAUUGACUGGAUAAGGAACAAAGGUCCAACGCCCACACCAAAUACCGGCCCCUCCUCUGACCACACAACUGGAGACGGCUACUACAUCUACCUGCAAGGGACUGAUGAUGCUCUCUCCGGGUUUGUGGCUGUCCUGGUCG